GGCGAGGUAGCAAAGCGGUCAUGCAACGGCCUGCAAAGCCGUCAAGUUGGGUUCGACUCCCUUCCUCGCCU
rnacentral:tRNA from 1 species